rnacentral:rRNA from 1 species
GGAAGACUUGCCCUCUGGGUUGUAAACUGCUUUUAUCCGGGAAUAAACCUCAUUACGUGUAUUGAGCUGAAUGUACCGGAAGAAUAAGGAUCGGCUAACUCCGUGCCAGCAGCCGCGGUAAUACGGAGGAUCCAAGCGUUAUCCGGAUUUAUUGGGUUUAAAGGGUGCGUAGGCGGCCUGUUAAGUCAGGGGUGAAAGACGGUAGCUCAACUAUCGCAGUGCCCUUGAUACUGAUGGGCUUGAAUGGACUAGAGGUAGGCGGAAUGAGACAAGUAGCGGUGAAAUGCAUAGAUAUGUCUCAGAACACCGAUUGCGAAGGCAGCUUACUAUGGUCUUAUUGACGCUGAGGCACGAAAGCGUGGGGAUCAAACAGGAUUAGAUACCCUGGUAGUCCACGCCCUAAACGAUGAACACUCGCUGUUGGCGAUACACAGUCAGCGGCUAAGCGAAAGCGUUAAGUGUUCCACCUGGGGAGUACGCCCGCAAGGGUGAAACUCAAAGGAAUUGACGGGGGCCCGCACAAGCGGAGGAGCACGUGGUUUAAUUCGAUGAUACGCGAGGAACCUUACCCGGGCUUGAAAGUUAGUGAAUGAUCCAGAGAUGGAUC